UUGUGGGGCAGAGACUGGGGAGCAAAGAGAGGAGUCAGAGGUGGAGGACGUAGUGGGUGCCAAAGGGAAGCUGCCUCCUGCCCGUCUCAGGCUGUAUGAGCUAGAUCAUUUUAAGGAACAGGACCCAUAGUUCCUGUUUAAAUCCUUCCAUUUGCAAUCUUAAAAAAAAAAAAGACUAUUCAUUGUGGGUAAGAACUCUGUGCCCUGCCCCCUCACCACACGUGAAUUCCGGCCAUUCGAUUGCUUCACAAAUUCUGGGAACGUCCUAUUACCACCCACCUCAUCCCCACUCACUCCACCCAACCCCACCACCCAGUGUCCUUAGGGCAGACAUUCCCAGACUGAAGUGCAGCUGAGGGAGCAGAAUAAACCUUAGAGAGAACUUGGCCUUCCAGAACUGGCCACUGGUGGUGUGUGGCCCAUUCAUGGACAUGUGACCAUACCAAAAAGAAGAAAGUUGUCCCCUCCUUGUCAUUCUGAAAGAUUGAGAACUCGGAGUCCUAUCUUCAUUAUCGCACAGGAAGCUAAGAAUUUCUUAAUCAGGACCUUGAACCUUGAACUCAUAAAGACUCUAAGAGCUCCAGACACAAAGACUGCUUGACACAGUCCUGUGAAACCAGAAUGCAGAAACCAAGGUUAAGUUCAGAAGUACUGGGAUUUACUAAAAAGCCACCAGAGGCUUGGAGAGAAGGCUUGGAUAGAAUAAUGGCUACCAUCUGUUGAGCCAUUACUAAGUGGUAGUCACAGAGGAACAUCCUAGUCCAUUCCAACUCUGCAAGGUGUUACCAGGAACAUCCAGAAGGCACCAUCCAGAACCCUCCAUACCUUCAGGGCACACCCCCAGGGUUUAGUUCUCUAAUCCAACUCGUGCAGCCCUGGGAAGCUUCUCACAGACAAGUUCUGGUGAUACCAGCAGUGUUUGCGCUGCCGGGGACGGGACCUGCUGGGAGCAAGGCAGCAGUGGAGGCAGGGGCAGCCCCGGCCAGUGCCUGUGUUUCCCCGACUCUCAGUGGGAAAACCGUCCAACCAGGCCUGUACGUGGUCGGGUGGGCAGAGCAGGCUUCCAAGGAGAGGAUCUCUCUCGGGGAGUCAGCAUGAAGGUUGAAGGUCGAAGGGUGGCCACAUGAAGACUUGGCAGAGCAACUCAUCUGUUUUCGCUAAUGAGCAAGGAGGCCUGCCCAUGGGGAUUUCCCAGCCAUGUUCAAGUGGAAGCCAAAUCAACCUACAUCGAGAGUUCUGAAACUCCAGGUAGGUAUCAGAACCACGUGGAGAGCA